GCCAGGCAGUGUCUGCCGAGCCAGCAGUGGUCCUAAGCACGCGCCUGCCUGCUUGUCCACCGUGAGCCUCAAGCCCACAGGCCCCUAGACCACAGACCAGCACCUGGGAUGACCCCUGAUGGACGUGCUGCUCUAGGUGAGACCACAUGCCCAGACACACGGAGCUUGGUCCGGGUUCCUGGAUACUUCUUCCUGUCCUGAGACACAGGCUGCCUGGGCAGCAGAACCAACUGUGGAGUUGGAUGGACCUGCUCCCAAGACCAGGCAUGGGAGCAACACAGAUGUCCACCGAUGGAGGGAUGGAUAAAGAAUAAGCGGCACAUACACACAGUGGAAUAUCGCCCGGCCAUAGAGAAGGGUGAAAAUGCCAUUUGCAGAGAUGCGGGUGGACAACAGAGACUAUCAUUCUGAGUGAGAAAUGUAGAGGGCAUCUGGAACUCGCAUGACUUUCCAGAGGAAACGCAGUGCAGCACCAUGAUCUCUUUCAUCUUCUAUCAUCUUGCACAUCAAAACUCCCCCUCCACUCAUCAAGGGACUCUUGUAUAGCUGGCCUCCAGAAUACACCACCAGCAUCCCCAGCCCUGUUUCUUUGGUCACAGCUCUUCCCUGCCUGCCCUCCCCACCCUACUUACCCUUCAGAGCUUCUCCAUGUUGUCCCCACCCUUGAAGACCAAGCAGAAGACCUCGCCUCAAGCUGACCCACAAAACACCCUGCCCUCCUUCAAAAGAACUUCUUGUGUUUCUGCUGACCUUGAGCCAGGGAGGCAGUAAUCACACUGGUUAAGAGGAGGCGCCGCAGUCAGGUUGCCCACUUCUUACUGCUUGUGUGACCUUGGGCAAGUUACUGGAAGUUCCUGGGCAUUGCUUUCCUCAGCUAUAAAAUAAGGAUAAUAACAGGAGCUCUUUUCUAUAUCUAAAGGGCUGAGCACAAUGCCUGAUGCACUGUAGCCACUCAGUAAAGGAGAGUUAGCAUUAUCCUAAGAAUUUUCUUUAUAUGUUGCCAUGUAAGGUUGUAACAGCCCAGGAAAAGUAGGUUUCUUUGCCCCAGAUGAUGAAAAUGAAGCUCAGAAAGGUUAAAGCACUUGCCCAAGAUCACAUAUUUGGUCAUGGAGCUGAGAUGCAGAGUCAGGCCUGUCUGGUUGAGAUCCACAGCUUUGGCACUGCCAUAGCCAACCCACCUCAAUAGGCCUCCUAUGGCUAGGUCAGCCCUUAUUCCUCAGUUUACCUUUCAUGUGGGCCUUCCUUCUACCCCAAGCCAGACCUGGAUUCCUCCAAAGCAAGGUUUCUCAAAUCUCCUCACCCCAGCUAUGUAUCAUUCAGUAUCUGUUGAGUGGACAAAAAAGUGAAUGGAUGGGGAAAAUACAUUUCAAGACCAGACUCUAUCCCCGAAGAACCUAGCCCUGGUACUUAAAGUCCAUGGAAGUCAGGGGCCUCUCAACAGAACCAGGGUGAGCCCACCUCCAGGCUCUUCUCCACAUCAGCCUACCCACCACACUGAUCCAGGAUUUCUGACUGUGUCUCUCUCCUUCUAAAACACCUCCAGGAAUUCCUGCACUUCCCGUGGGACUAGUCUAUAGGAAGGAGUUUGGUUCCAACACGGUCUGUUAACAUAAGUCUUCACUGAGCUUAACAUGUAUUUCUUUGAUCUGGAAAGCAAACGUUUGGAAAAGAGAUGGUAAAGGAUAGCAAUGAUGUACUCGCUCAGAGCUGUGCAGUAAAGGGACCACGGCCACAUUCUCCUGGGGCUAUGGUUUCUGGAUUUACAUCCCUUUAUUUUUAAAGUAAAACUGCAUGUAAAGUGCUCUAAAUACCAAUAUCAGAAUGUUAGAACUUCAAGUAUCACAGAAUGAUGCCCAUUUUGCUGCUUGCCUCACCAUCCCAGAGAAAGAACCUCACGUGAGUUAAUUGGACAGAUGAGAACAUGAAAGAUGGGGAGGUGUGCCCCACAUUAUUGAGACCCAAUGUUUUGGUGUAGACACAAUCAAAUGAAACUGUCCUUUUAGCUUCCAUAGGGACCAGGCAAAGAUGAGGAAUGAAGCAGUAGCAUUAUCGAGAAAACCGUGCAGGUUCUGAAUAGAAACUUUUCUGUUAUAGAACACCUGAAAUCCCAGUUAGUCAUAGCUGUCAUUUUUUGAGUGCUUAAAACUCUGUGUCUUGAUCAAGGCCAGUGGGUGGCAGAGCAGCUUUGACCUCACAUAUGUCUGACUCCUGUCCAGCAUAUUUCUCCUAAAGCACAAGGCUCUCAUUUCCCCUGAGGAAUCUUGGAGUCCAAGAGACUUAGAGCUCUUUGGUCAUCUGUUAUACGUACCCUCUAAUCAUCCUCUUCCUCAACUCAUUAGCCGAAGUCAAGCCCUGUGCAUAAUUCAGUUAGCUGAUUUGUCUAUUCAUCAUAUGCUUAUGUAAAUGGCUUGAAAUAUUUCCCCAGUAUUCUUUUUAAAAUAUUUAUUUGAAUGGAGGAUAAUUACUUUACAAUAUUGUGAUGGUUUUUGCCGUACAUCAACAUGAAUUGGCCAUAGGCAUACAUGUGUCCCCUCUCUCCUUAACCUCCCUCCCGCCUUGCUUGUCACCCCAUCCCUUCAGGUUGUCACAGAGCACUGACCUUGGGUACCUUGUGUCAGCAUCAAACUCCCACUGGCUAUCUGUUUUAUGUAUGGUAAUGUGUAUAUUUCAAUGCUAUUUUCUCAAAUCAUCCCACCCUCUCCUCCCAAUGAGUUCAAAGGUCUGUUCUUUAUGUCUGAGUCUCCUUUGCUGCCCCUUCGUAGGAACACUGGUACCAUCUUUCUAGAUUCCAUAUAUAUGCAUUAAAAAUAUACAGUAUUUGUCUUUCUCUUUCUCCCCUAGUAUUCUUAUUGGCAAGAAAAUGGGGCCAACAUCAAGGUAAUUCAUGAGCUUAUACUUGCAAAUGUUUUCAAUCAUGUUUUAACUAGUAGUAACUCUUUCGCUUGAUUUAUCUGAAAAUUGUUUCUCUUUCUCCUGCUUCUGUCUUGUAAGAUUCUAUGAAUCCCUUCUGUUGAUAACAGCAGCUAAGUAAAAAGAAACAAAUGAAAUUAAUUUUAAUAUCAUUAUUUAACUGAAUAUAUCCAAAAUGUUACUAUAUUUUAUCCAAAACAUUAUUGAGCUAUUUUAUGUUUUCAUACUAGCUUUUUAAAAUCUGGUGUAUAUUUUAUACUUAAAGCACUAGUCUCAAUUCAGACCAGUCUCAAUUCAGACUGGCCAUAGCGCAAGUGCUCAGUCCACAUAUGGCUAUUAUACUGGACAACACAGAUAUAAAUAGGCAUUCUCCUUUUCCUAUUUCACCUAUUUGUUUCUAUUUCAACUUUAAAUUUAGGUUUUGCAUUACGAUUGGACCAUAAAAGGCUACCUUAAUGGAAAUGUGCCCCUUGGAUAAUGUAAUAAAACAUAGCAGCUGUUUAGGACAGCAGAAAGACCAUACCUUGAAAGAAAGUGAAAGUUGCUCAGUCGUGUCCAACUCUGGGACCCCAUGGACUAUACAGCCCAUGGAAUUCUCCAGGCCAGAAUACUGGAGUGGGUAGCCUUUCCCUUCCCCAGGGGAUCUUCCCAACCCAGGGAACAUACCUCAGGAGUUCUAAAAUCUAGGUUUCAGUUCUCACAACUAAUUGGGGCUGUGGCCAGUGGCAACCCUCAACUUCCCUCAGCCUCUUUCCUCAUGUUAAAAGAGAGGGGAUGGGGAUUUCCCUGGCAGUCCAGUGGUUAAGACUUCAUGCUCCCAAUGCAGGGCAUGCAGGUUCAGUCCUUGGUCGGAGAACUAAGAUUCCACAUGCCAUGUGUGCGUGGGCAAGAAAAAAAAAGAUGAUGGUUUGUGAUUACUGUUUCUUUCCAUUUCUAAAAAUCUCUUUCUGCUUACUGCACACACCCUUUCCAGGGUUUCUGCAGCCGUUUCCUCUUUCCAGGCACAAUUUUUGUGUGACAGGGCUUAUCCCAAGCUGGAGAAAUGUGAUCCCUGUGCCCAGCUCUGUGCCUGGCAUGCUGUAGGCACAAGAAAUGCUUGUUGAAUGAAGGAAAAUCCAGUUCUCUGAGGGACCCCUGGGCCUCUCAGUUUUUGCUGGAGUGACUAUAGCAGCCUUAGCAAUUAAUUAUACUCUUAUUUCCUUUCUCAUAUUAGCCUAAAACCCUGACAGUCUAAGUUUUCUGAAGGGUAAUAGCCAGGAUUAGAAACCAUUUCCUGAUCCUGUUAGCCAAGGAGAUGGUGCUCAGCUAUAGGCGUGGCUGCCUAGAGACCCCCGCAAAUGGUCUCCCUCUUAUUACAUGCUGUUCUGAUGCUGAGGAGAGUUAAUUAAUGACUCUAAAUAAGAAAACAAUCAAAUCUGUCUGCAGUCAUAUGAGUCAGAGCAGACCCAGAUGGGGAGCCAGUCCUUGGCCUCCAAAUGCCCUGGGGGGAAGCAAUAGCAGCUUUUGCUCCAGACGUCAGAGCCUUGCAAAACCCCAACCUAGAAGGGGAAGGAGUUGCUCAAAAUGGCUUGGAGACCCAGCAUAACGUGAAACAGUUUCUUAAAAGGCCAGGCCCCCUGCCUGGGUGUUGUGCACACUGAGCUCUAAGGAGAGGAGAAAAAGCACAAGCCUGUUUCUCUCUCUCUCUUUAGACACCCAAACCUGCAGCAACUGCACGGGCAGUCCUCAGGCACAGGCCUCCUGUGUGUGUGUGUUGGAAGACCAGGGCAAUUGGCAUUGCCACCUGGAGGAUAUGUGGCUUGAAGCCUGUCAAGCCCCAAACCUGCCCACCUUCAGGACUCCUGUAGCCACAUAUGGAAGUGGAACAUUGGUUGUGAUGACAUGAAGGCAGAAAUGUGAUGUUUCCCUGAGAUUAGGUGAGGCUUAAAACAGUGAAAAAUUUAUUUUUGUGUUAGAAAGUUUGCUGCGAAAAAUCUGAGAGUGGGAAUGGGUGGAAGAAGCCUCUUAACAAUAUCCAAGUGUUCUUAGCACUGGAACAGGAUGCUAGCAAAUAAAGAUAAGCCCUACUUUUUUAGCUCUCUAUGAACUCUGUUGAAUAAUAACAGCAUCCUCAUGGUUCUCUCUCUCUUCUUGCAUGCUUGGCUUCCUGUGAAACAGUUCCAUGCUGGAAAGAAAACCCAGCACCACUGGCCAUGAGGGUCAUAUACCUUUCUCCUUCUUUGGUAAUCAAGUUCAGGUUAGGAGCCCUUUGUCAGGAUAAAAUGUCAUACAUAUGUGACAAUAGGCUUGCUCAGUUUGAAAGGACUCUUUGUGAUUUAUGUCUGAAUCUUAGUUGGGCCCCAAUUUAAUUCCUGUAAAAUUUGGUUAGAAUAUCUGAGAGGACAUGACAAUACUUCAAUAUUUCUUCUACAAUAGCAGUAGGGAAAAAACCAGUGGUAAAGAGGAGUCUCUGGAGUUUUAAGAUAUCCAGAUUGGAACAUAAAUGUUGCUCCUUCUGAUCUAUAUAACCAUGGGCAAACCCCUUUCUUCUCGAAGCUUCAUUUGCUCAUCUUGAAAGUGGGAAUAACAACACCACCCACCUCAUAGGACUCUGAGAAUUAAAUACAUUCUUACAUGUGAAGAGCCCGACUCAGAAAUGUUUCCUCUUAUUAUUAGCUUGCAAUUCUUUAAAUAGGGACUGCUGCUGGGUCCAUUCAAAGUGAUGCAGUAGGUCAUCUACAGCUGUUUCUCUUGUUCCAUUCUGUGACCAGCUGUGGGGAAAUCCUCACAGAGGCCUUGGUCCUCAGAGUUUGCUCCUACUCCAUGCCCUAAAACUGCUUUUUCUCUAGGCGGGCUGAGGCCAGCGCUCCAGAACCUUGGACAGCUCCACUCCUUGGGGACUGCUGAGCGCCCUGAAGAAACACGAAGGACUUGGGGGAUUUUCCCAGAAGGGCUGCAUUAGUGUGGGGAUUUAGGGAUCCCAAGGGCCUCAGUCUCACUCCAAGGAAGUGUACCAGUGACUGCAUGUUCAGAUUCUUCAACACAACCAGCCCUCCUGGAAAAUUCUGAGGAGCCUCUCCUCCUCAGAAACCCUAUCCAUAAGAGUUACCAAAUCAUCAGGGCCUUUCCUUCUCUCCUAAGAACUCCAAGGAUUUUUUUUUUCUUUUUUGAGCCCAAGAAGAACAGAAAUACCACCCACAUCUUCCUGUAUCCGCUGAUAUUUACUUUGUUUGGCUUCAGUACAAGGAUUAAACCUUCUUGAUUAACCUUGAGUGAAAGUAAUAAUGUAUGAGCAUAAAGAAAGGCUUUAUAAGACAGAGACUCAUGUAUGAAUAAAAAAAAAUUAAUGUCAUUGCCUGUAUGUGAUGUUAAGUGACAAUCUCUAAUCAGGAUAUGCAGGUAGUUCAAUUUAUGCGAUAAUUAAUCUUUUUACUCUCCAGUGCAGAACACAACACACAUAUGCAGUCACCUUCUGAACAGGCAAGGAAGAGAUUAAGUCCUAUUUUUACUUUAUGAUACUGAGUCAUGUAGUUCAAUGCAAAUCACAUGGAUGCCAAAGUAAGAACAAUAACAGGUAUUUAAAUAUCUCUUUUACUUUAAGGAGCA
ensembl:lncRNA